rnacentral:rRNA from 1 species
AUCCAUUUAUCGGAGAGUUUGAUCCUGGCUCAGGACGAACGCUGGCGGCGUGCCUAAUACAUGCAAG